rnacentral:rRNA from 1 species
UAUGGUGGUUUUGCCGAGGGUGUUCACCUCUUCCCAUUCCGAACAGAGAAGUUAAGCCCCUCAUGGCCGAUGGUACUGCACAACAAUG